rnacentral:rRNA from 1 species
GUGUCAGCAGCCGCGGUAAUACGGAGGGUGCAAGCGUUAUCCGGAAUUACUGGGUUUAAAGGGUGCGUAGGCGGCCCUGUAAGUCAGGAGUGAAAGUUUGCGGCUUAACCGUAAAAUUGCUUUUGAUACUGCAGGGCUAGAAUCAGGAUGAGGUCAGCGGAAUGUGGCAUGUAGCGGUGAAAUGCAUAGAUAUGCCAUAGAACACCAAUUGCGAAGGCAGCUGGCUAGACCUGCAUUGACGCUGAGGCACGAAAGCGUGGGGAGCGAACAGGAUUAGAAACCCUAGUAGUCC